CAGCCGCCGCGGGAAUACAGAGGGUGCGAGCGUUAAUCGGAUUUACUGGGCGUAAAGCGUGCGUAGGCGGCUUCUUAAGUCGGAUGUGAAAUCCCUGAGCUUAACUUAGGAAUUGCAUUCGAUACUGGGAAGCUAGAGUAUGGGAGAGGAUGGUAGAAUUCCAGGUGUAGCGGUGAAAUGCGUAGAGAUCUGGAGGAAUACCGAUGGCGAAGGCAGCCAUCUGGCCUAAUACUGACGCUGAGGUACGAAAGCAUGGGGAGCAAAUGGGAUUAGAUACCCCGGUAGUCCCUGUCUCUUAUAC
rnacentral:rRNA from 1 species